rnacentral:rRNA from 1 species
ACGGGUGAGUAACGCGUGGGAAUCUACCCAUCUCUACGGAACAACUCCGGGAAACUGGAGCUAAUACCGUAUACGUCCUUCGGGAGAAAGAUUUAUCGGAGAUGGAUGAGCCCGCGUUGGAUUAGCUAGUUGGUGGGGUAAUGGCCUACCAAGGCGACGAUCCAUAGCUGGUCUGAGAGGAUGAUCAGCCACACUGGGACUGAGACACGGCCCAGACUCCUACGGGAGGCAGCAGUGGGGAAUAUUGGACAAUGGGCGCAAGCCUGAUCCAGCCAUGCCGCGUGAGUGAUGAAGGCCCUAGGGUUGUAAAGCUCUUUCAACGGUGAAGAUAAUGACGGUAACCGUAGAAGAAGCCCCGGCUAACUUCGUGCCAGCAGCCGCGGUAAUACGAAGGGGGCUAGCGUUGUUCGGAAUUACUGGGCGUAAAGCGCACAUAGGCGGAUACUUAAGUCAGGGGUGAAAUCCCGGGGCUCAACCCCGGAACUGCCUUUGAUACUGGGUAUCUCGAGUCCGGAAGAGGUGAGUGGAAUUCCGAGUGUAGAGGUGAAAUUCGUAGA